rnacentral:lncRNA from 1 species
UUUUAUUCACUUCACAAAUCACACACAAAGAGCCACAAAUGUACUCGGCACUUCAACCCUGAAAUCAAACAAUUCCAUCCAAUUCCAAUUUCUAAACCCUAUUCUCCGCUGUUGGCACUCACGCUGAGCCACCAUCGGGUCCUCGAUGUUGAGCCACCGGCCACUGUAGCACUACAUAACCACUGCAUUGCUGGUAACUGAUUCCACUCGUGAUGGCGUGAAGUAAGCGGUGAGCCUCGUGCCUUUCUUCAUUUUUUUUUUAAAUUUUUUGGUUUUUGUUCUUCUAGUUCGUUUAUUGAUUUAUUAUUAUGAAAUUAUGAGUUAUCAAUUAAAUUAAUCAGUUAUAAAUUAUGAAUUUAUGAGUUUAUGUUUUAUGAGAAUUUACUGUGAGUUUAUCUAUGAGUUGUGAGUUGUGAGCCUCUCAUUAGUAUUUGAGAAUAUGUGAUAUCAUUUAUGUGGACUAUGGAAUCUGUGAAAAUUGAGGAUUUUGUGAAAAUCGGGGAUUUUGGAAAUGGAAACUUUUAGUAUCCAUGGAUGAGGAAAUCCCCAAUAGUCAUUGAACUUUGCAGAAAAUUCCCUAGGAGGUCACCGAACUUCAAUACGUCUUUGAAUGGUCACUGAACUUUUUCGAAAUCUCCCAAAAAGUCACCGAAUUUUAAAAUGUUCCCGAAUGGUUACUGAACUUUAUAAAAAACCCUGGGAGGUCACUAAACUAGCUAUGUUUGGGGUCCCAAUUUGCAACGUUGAAUGAUCUCUCUAGGGGAUUUCGACAAAGUUCAGUGACCAUUUAGGGACGUUUUAAAGUUCAUUAACCUCUUGGGGGACUUCGGUAAAGUUCAGUAACUAUUUAGGGACGUAUUGAAAUUCGAUGACCUCCUAGAAAUUUUCUACAAAGUUUAGUGACCAUUGGGGGGAUUUCCUCAUCCAUGGACUUAUGGAAUCUUUUAGAAUUUGUCAAAAUUGGUGAUUUUUGAAAUGAAAACUUGAUAGUUAAUAUGAGAUUUACGUUUUAGUGCACUUAUAUAUUAAUUGAAAUUUUUUAAUAUUAUCCAAUCCAAUACUCCCUCCGUCCCAAUUAUAUAGGUUGAGUUUCUUUUUUCUCUUGUACCAAAUAUAUAAGCAUGUUUCCUAAUUUAGAAUAUUUUGUUUUGUUUCUUUAUCAAUAUACCCUUAUUCAAUUUUCACCACUUAAUAUGUCAACUUCUUGAAAAUUUUCAAAUACAGACAUUCCCACUUCUUGAAAACAUGAAACAACUCUCAUUUCUUCUUAUUCAAAUUCUUUUACUAAUUCCAACAAUAGUUUAUUACUACAUACUGAAAAUUAAAUAGGGGUAAAUUAGGGAAGAUUUUGGCAAAAAUUAAUUUUUCAAUGACAUUAAAAAAGAUUUCUUAAUUCGUGUGAAAAACGAACCAAACCUAUAUAAUUGAGUCGGAGGGAGUAUUAAUAAACAAUCUUGCUAAUGCGUUGGUCAAAAGUCACUGACUGUCCUAAAUGGCUCCAAUUCGUGAAUUCAUACUAGGUGUACGUGUAGCAUGACCCAGUCACUUUAGGAUGAUAGGUCAAUUUUGAAAAGUUCGCCGAUUUUAUUAUUUUUAUUAUUAAAAUAUAGGUUCGGAAUGUACCGAUUUUGGUCCGAUCUGCCUCUCUGCCAGUGGAACAAAUUUUGUCCACUUCUCAAAAUCGUGGAGCGACAAAAUAUUUUCAAUUAGUAAAUUUUUAUCGACAUUUAAAUAAUUUUUUAGAAUAUUAAAUGAUUUUUCUGUUGAAAAAUGUUUAAUACAGUUUUUAGUUUGGUUGCUAAUUCUACGAAAGAAUUGUCUAACAAUCUAUUUAAAAUAUAUAUAUUUUAUAUAAUUUUCAACCGAAUCAUCCCAUCGUAAAUCUGUUGGACAAUUGUUUAAUUUAUUAUUUAUUUAUUAUGCCAACGGAUUAGCAACAAAAGUUUAACAAUGGGAGACUUCCGUUGUUAAUCUAUUCGGUAAAUUAAUAUCUAUUUUUAAAAAUGAUAAAAUAAUUUCCCGUUGGAAAUUUGUAGCAAAUACAUCGUUUUUACCAAUGGAAUAAGUUGAUUGGUAAGAUUGCAUUGCUAAAUGCUAAGGCCUCACAUUCUAAAUAAUUAUCAGUGUUUAGCAUAGCAUUCCUCGAUCUGUGUAUAUAUUUAUGUGCGUACGAUAAUAAUUUUAUAGGUAUCAUUGUCGAGCUUUUUUUAUAGACCAAUUCAUUUAUUAUGGCUUGAAUUCUCAUAUUUGAGAAUGGUGGAUUCCUUGUUGAGCAUUUAUUUAUUCUAUUAUAAACGAAUUCCGUAUGUAUAGCAAAUUAAUUUAGCAUCAAUGGUUGACAACGUCAAAAUUAUUUUAUAAUAAUAGAGUAGUGAUAAAUAAAUAUUUCAUAUCGAAGGACAACACCCCCCUUUCAUAUAGAGUUUCAUAUCAUGCGUCCAAUGGAUGGAAGAGAAUAAGCAACCCGCCAAAUAUUACGUGGUGAGUGAUACAAGGGUUGCAGCUGUGUUGGUUUCAAGUUUAGAAUGAUAGGUCACUGUAUUGCAACAUAUGAGUUUCAUAUUGUACGUACUUUCAAUUGAAUAUAUUAUUUAAUGUCAUCCUAUUAUUAUAUAA